UACAGAGGUCCCAAGCGUUGUUCGGAUUCAUUGGGCGUAAAGGGUGCGUAGGCGGCGCGGUAAGUCGGGUGUGAAAUCUCGGAGCUUAACUCCGAAACUGCAUUCGAUACUGCCGUGCUUGAGGACUGGAGAGGAGACUGGAAUCUACGGUGUAGCGGUGAAAUGCGUAGAUAUCGUAAGGAAGACCAGUGGCGAAGGCGGGUCUCUGGACAGUUCCUGACGCUGAGGCACGAAGGCUAGGGGAGCAAACGGG
rnacentral:rRNA from 1 species